UUCACCUCCAUAAUCACCCAAAUGGUACCUCAAAAAAUACAAUUAAAAAUAUACUGCAUUUCCACUGGGAAAUAUUUGAAAGACAUAAAACAGGCAAACAGUCUGCAUAAACCCCUUCUGGUUUAACUUCUGAAGUUUAUGGCAAAAUGGUGCUUUGAGAGGAGUGCAAAAGAAAAACUUGGAAGACCAGGAAAAAACAGGAGCAAAAGAAAACAUCUAAAAGAAAUUUCAGUUCUACAACUGAUCUUCACUACCAGUGGCUUUUGGGACACCUAAGGUUUAACUGUGAUUUAUGUUUGCAGAUAUUAAAUGUGUUAUUUAUCUUUUUAAAAGCUGAACAGCUUGAAUGAUAAAUAUGCUAAGGCGCAUAACUUCAAAUAAGUAUAAAUAAGGCAAAGUUUAUUAGCUUUGUUGGCAAAAUAAUUUACAAAACCUUUUGAAUGUCUACCACCAAUCAAAAUGGUCUUUCUUAUAAAAAGUAAUUAAAACCCUGAUCAAUAUAAGCU